GGGCCGCUAGCUCAACUGGCAGAGCAACUGACUCUUAAUCAGUAGGUUACAGGUUCGAUUCCUGUGCGGCCCACUA
rnacentral:tRNA from 1 species